CAGAAGACGAAAUGCCUGCCCUCAUGCAGCCUGCAUUCUAUAGGGAGGGACAAACAAUGACCAAGAUAUAAAUACAGAGAGGGUAUCAGUCACGAUCUGUGGUCCCCAGGAUGUGUCCCUUGUCUCACAGCCCAAGAAGGCAUCUCAGCCAUCAGAACCAUGUUCUCAGCAGCUAGAUGGAGAAAGAGGGGAUGAAGGAAAAGACAUCACUCCAGCUGUUCAGACACCAUACCCAGGCUUUGCACCCAGCGAGCUUCCCCAGGCCUCUUCUACUAUCAUGUUCUAGGCUGAGGAAUAAGAAGAAGAUUUUAUCAAUAGCGUACAACCAGAGGACCUCACACUUUCAAGGGCUCAAUGAGCAUCCCCACAGCAAUCACGUAGGAAGACACAGCCACUCUCAUCAGCUCCUUUUUGGUGAAUAAAGCAGUAAUCCCAAACUUGC